rnacentral:lncRNA from 1 species
CAGCCUCUGUCACCACUGUCCUCCUGGCAGCAUCCUGAAUUGCGAAGAGCCACCCCGCCCCCCAGACAUUCAGUGACCUAGACUCAGACCUCUGGGGAAGGACACAGUCUCCAGGCUCAGCCAGUAGGCAGGGGACUGUGACAGAAAGGGACAUGUGGCCAAGUCCCUCUGGUGAGAUACAAACCUGGACUUUGGCCAAACCUGGAUGUAAAUCUUCUCCCGGACUUCUCCCAGGUUUUCAACCUAGAAGCAUCUUUCUCCUGGACCUGGAAGCGAUCCCUUUGAAACACAGUCAUAAAGACAGGGCCUCUGUCUCCUGGGUCCUGUGGGAAGAGUCCUCAGGUGACCUUGGGAGUUCAUGCUUCCUCUCUAAGCCUUCGACCCCAAGCUGAAACAGUGGAGCUGCUGGAGAUGGUACUGGGUGCCCCUGCUAGCUGAGACAUUGCAGGACUUUUGGGACACGAGGUUCUGCCACUCUGAUCAGUCGUCAUCACCGUGUGUGCACAAGAGAACCCUGCAGAGCUUCCCAUGCUACAGCCAUUCAAACCUCUAAUCCUUGGAAUCCUGGUGUGGGAAAACUCAAGUGAAAAUGCCCAGGAAAUUCUGAUUGCUGCAGAGACAUUGAGGGAAUCAGCGAAUCUGGCAAUGAGGCUGGAGUGCAGUGGUGCCAUCUCAGCUUACUGCAACCUCUGACUCCCUGGUUCAAACGAUUCUCCUGCCUCAGCCUCCCGAGUAGCUGGGAUUACAGAGCUUGAGGCACCAUGACACAGAAACCAAGGACACAUGACUUCAGAUACUUAAGAAAACUCAUGUCAUCAAAUCACAUCAAGAACAUUGGAUGGCACAUCAAGACCUUCGUAAUAAGGUGGGUGUGGAUCUCAGCUAUCACACCCAGAUUGAGGAAAAAUUCCCAAAGUGAUUUUAUUUUUAGUUGUACAUCUUGUCUUUGUUUCCUUCUGAACUCCCAUUCCUCAAGAAUGGCAGAAACCCAAUCUCAGCUCUUGCAGGACCGCUAUUCUGGUUCUGAGCCCGUGACUAAGGAUUAGAGAUUCUUUGUCCUGCUGAGACAUCUGGUCUGAACAAGCAGGUAUCCUCUAUGCCAGGGCUAGGAUUUAAAUACUGGCCUCAUUCCAAAAUUUACUUUCUAUUCUCCUUCUCUGCAUACUUAGGUAGUUUGAUUUCAGCUAAGCAGAAGCAGCAGCUCUCAUUAAUUGGAACCUGGUUCUGCUGCCUUGUCCUGCCAUUCUAACACUAAAGUCCUGUUUCUCUGCUUUCAUGAGCUCCUGGGUUUUGUACACGUUCCUUUUUCACUGCAACGUGUCAAAGCCUAUUAAAAUUUUGUGUUUGAAUUUUACUAUCCAACUUCUUUUUUUUUUUUUUCUUACCAAUGAGUGCAUUCAUAUCUUGUGUCUUUGGUCUUACACUCCUAAUAACUUUGUAAAGUGGGUUAGGCAGGUACAUUCAUUUACAAAUAAAAGAACUGAGGUGCUAACAUUUUCUGGAUUUGCAUUUCUUAAAGGCAGAGUGGGGAGGUAGCAAAAGCUGUCCUGGGGACCAGCCCAGUUCUUUUUGAUCCAGUGCUGUUACAAGCAUUCAAUCUAUCUUUUACUCUCUAGUUUUCUUUUUGCUUUACUCUAGUUUGUUUUCAAUAAUCUUGGGAAUUACACAUUUUUUUUCUUUUUGAGACUGAGUCUUGCUCUGUCACUCAGGCUGGAGUGCAGUGGUGCGAUCUUGGGUCACUAUAACCUCCACCUCCCGGGUUCAAGCGAUUCUGCCACCUCAGCCUCCCAAGUAGCUGGGAUUAUAGGCACGCGCCACCAUGCUCAGCGAAUUUUUGUAUUUCUAGUAGAGAUGGGGUUUCACCAUGUUGACCAGGCUAGUCUCAAACUCCUGACCUCAGGUGAUCUGCCCGCCUUGGCCUCCCAAAGUGCUGGGUUACAGGUGUGAGCCACCACACCUGGCUGGGAAUUACACAUAUUUUAAAAGUGAAUUUUAAUUUUAUUUACUUUAAAAAUGUUGUGCAUCAUGCAAUAGAAUUAAGUUAUCACUGUCUGUUCUUUGAAAUUUUAUGCCCAAAAAUGUCAUGCAUGCUUGUAAUAGACCCAAAUAUGGGCAAGAACUACGAACGUAAUCAAAAGAAAGACAUUUCUGAGAAUUCUACCCCAACCCAGCUUUGCUAAAAACAUGAAUAGGUUACAGUUAAGUAAGACAAUUCUAGAAUAAGGUAACACUGUGUUUCAGUCUUACUGCUGGUUGACCUUGGAUAAGUUAAUAAACUUCUGUUUUCUCAGCUCACUCUGUAAAAUGUGGAGACUGGUAGUAUACACAGAAUAAAGUAAAACUGUGUUUGAGUCUUACUGCUGGUUGACCUUGGAUAAGUUAAUAAACUUCUGUUUUCUCAGCUCACUCUGUAAAAUGUGGAGACUGGUAG